CCUACGGGUGGCAGCAGUGGGGAAUAUUGGACAAUGGGCGAAAGCCUGAUCCAGCCAUGCCGCGUGUGUGAAGAAGGCCUUCGGGUUGUAAAGCACUUUCAGUGGGGAAGAAAGCCUUGGGGCUAAUACCCUCGAGGAAGGACAUCACCCACAGAAGAAGCACCGGCUAACUCCGUGCCAGCAGCCGCGGUAAUACGGAGGGUGCGAGCGUUAAUCGGAAUUACUGGGCGUAAAGCGCGCGUAGGCGGUCUGAUAAGCCGGUUGUGAAGGCCCCGGGCUCAACCUGGGAACGGCAUCCGGAACUGUCAGGCUAGAGUGCAGGAGAGGAAGGUAGAAUUCCCGGUGUAGCGGUGAAAUGCGUAGAGAUCGGGAGGAAUACCAGUGGCGAAGGCGGCCUUCUGGACUGACACUGACGCUGAGGUGCGAAAGCGUGGGUAGCAAACAGGAUUAGAUACCCCGGUAGUC
rnacentral:rRNA from 1 species